UGAAAUACAGUACGCAUUUACUAACCAUAGUAUACUUAUAUCUUAUUCAUGUCAAACUGUUAAGUUAAGCUGGAAUAUAAAUUUUUGUCGCAAAGGAUCAUUAUCUGAGGCACACUUUUGUUCAAAAGCUUCCAAACAUGAUUAAGGUAAAAAACAAGAAAAUGUUACUGUUUGGUUUUUUUUUGGUGCUUGUGGCAUUCCUAAUGUUUGUAACUGCAUUUGCAACUCCUUAUUUUAUCGAAAUAAAAUAUUCGACUGGAAUACACCAUGCUGGCUUAUGGAAGUAUUGCAAAAAUGUAUCUGGUAAAACGACAUGCAUAAACACAGAAAUUGAAGUGGACUUACCGUAUGUGAAAGUUUGUCAAGCGAUGUCUAUAAUGGCUUUGGUGUACGGCAUAGUUGGUGUGGUAUCCAUUGGUUUGAGGCUGUUUUAUUUCCAAGAGAAAGGAAUAUGGCAAAUUAUUGGUAUUGUAACUAUGUGUGCUCUCGUUUUUUACAGUCUUGUACCAAUCGGACUAUUCAUUGUCUAUGCUUCUGAAGGGCUUGGAAGAUGGUCCAAACUAGGCUACUCAUUUAUUUUAUGUGUCCUAGGUGAAUUUAUUGCUGUAAUUUCUAGCAUCGUUAUGAUAAUAGACUUGGUAUGUUGCAAGAAGGUACGAGUAAAUAAUGCAACGAAUAUACCACGUAGAGAAGUGUAACAAAAAAUCACAACUAAAGAGAAUAAACAGUUACACCAAGGGAGAAAACUGUUACAUAAAGGUUGGAAACAGUUACAAAAAGGGAAGAAACUGUUACAUUUUGUCAUUCAUAACAGCUCCAACAUAUUACUUUGUCAAACCAGUUUUACUUAUACUUAUCAAUGUAAUAUUUAGAAAAUGAAUAAUAUUUACGUGGCUUA